AACGUGGCCCAGCGGCAAUAUCUCAGCCAACAAGGUUUAUCCAGGGUGCGAUUAUUGCUAAUUGAAAACUAGAAUAUCUUUUAGGCUGUAAGGUUAAAAUAGUGUUUCCCAAACUUAAAAAAGCUAUGCUUGUAUGUUUGCAUA
rfam:Rattus norvegicus chromosome 18, whole genome shotgun sequence.